rnacentral:tRNA from 1 species
UCCUGGGUAGAACAAUCGGUAGUUCGGCUCCCUGUUAAGGAGAAGGUUGCAGGUUCGAUCCCUGUCCCAGGAG